rnacentral:rRNA from 1 species
CACGUAGGGCGCAAGCGUUGUCCGGAAUUAUUGGGCGUAAAGAGCGUGUAGGCGGCCAGGUAGGUCAGCUGUGAAAACUCGAGGCUUAACCUCGAGACGCCGGCUGAAACCCUCUGGCUAGAGUCCGGAAGAGGAGAGCGGAAUUCCUGGUGUAGCGGUGAAAUGCGCAGAUAUCAGGAAGAACACCCGUGGCGAAGGCGGCUCUCUGGGACGGUACUGACGCUGAGACGCGAAAGCGUGGGGAGCGAACAGG